CUUCUCAAACUGUAAGAAUUAACUGCUGUGAAUAUUUAACAACUGAUUUCCCAAGUUGGUGAUCUUGUUCAGAAGGUUACAGUACCAUGCUUUCUUGACUUUAAUUUAGUGUGUCUUUCAUUUUGUUGUCUGAUCUGUAUGACACUUACAAGGUAAAUGCUCUGUUUUGUCACUGCCCCAGUAUAGUAAAUCAUAUUCCUGUAAUUUGUCACACUGAUUGUUUCUGUGAAUAGAGAUCAUUGAUGAAUAGCGACUUAGAAAAUAAGACUUAAUUUGUGAAUGAAAUAAGCUUAACCUGGAGGGAAUCUAUUGAUGUUUUUCCUCCCUGAUCAUUGAAUAAAAUAUGUAAAAGAUUACUUUCUUGUACUGCAAUAUUUUGACAGGACAUCAAAAUCCUUACAUCUAAUGACAAAAGUACAGCUAGAUUUGAGUGAGUCAAGAAAAAAACACGUACUCAGCUGUACUAGGUGUUAAGUUCAGAUUAUUCGCGUUCUAGACUUUGUUUACUCUAUUUCUUAAUUACAGAUUAAAACAUUAAAAUUAACCAGCUGUAAACAUGAGACAGACUUCUCAUCUGUGUUGGUAGGCUUGGAGACAAGGAAAAAAGAUCAGAGAACAGAUGUUUAGCUGUGCCUUUCUCUCUCUGCCUCUCCAUUUAUGAAGAGCAAGCUACGACAGAAAAUAUUGUGUAUUGAAGGAAUAAAAUCAGGCAGCCCUGCCACAUGAGGGAUAUUAUAUCAUGUAACGUUGAAGGCAUUAUACUGCAAUAUUUCAAGAGCUUAUAAAGAGGAUCGUGAUAUACCAUCAUUUUUUGUUCCAUGAAACAAUGGAACAGCACUGGAAAGAAGAAACCAUCAGGGAUCCAGUGAAGUCAGAGCAAGAGCCAAAUCAGCAGGAAGAGCAUCAGAGGAAUAAUGGGAAAAAAAAAUACAGAGAAGAUCGGUAAUGAGAAACUCCUACCUACUUUAUUCAAAGUGAUUAUGGA
rnacentral:lncRNA from 1 species